rnacentral:rRNA from 1 species
UACGUAGGGGGCAAGCGUUGUCCGGAAUUAUUGGGCGUAAAGAGCGUGUAGGCGGUCCGGUAAGUCAGCUGUGAAAGUCAAGGGCUCAACCCUUGAAUGCCGGUUGAUACUGUCGGGCUAGAGUCCGGAAGAGGCGAGUGGAAUUCCCGGUGUAGCGGUGAAAUGCGCAGAUAUCAGGAGGAACACCAAUGGCGAAGGCAGCUCGCUGGGACGUUACUGACGCUGAGACGCGAAAGCGUGGGGAGCAAACAGG